rnacentral:miRNA from 1 species
UGCUCUCUGGGUUCAUGCUCUGG